rnacentral:rRNA from 1 species
UACGAAGGGGCUAGCGUUGCUCGGAAUUACUGGGCGUAAAGCGCACGUAGGCGGCUUUCUAAGUCGGGGGUGAAAUCCUGGAGCUCAACUCCAGAACUGCCUUCGAUACUGGAAAGCUCGAGUCCGGGAGAGGUGAGUGGAACUGCGAGUGUAGAGGUGAAAUUCGUAGAUAUCGGAGGAACACCAGUGGCGAAGGCGGCUCACUGGCUCGACACUGACGCUGAGGUGCGAAAGCGUGGGGAGCAAACAGG